rnacentral:rRNA from 1 species
UACGUAGGUGGCAAGCGUUGUCCGGAUUUAUUGGGUUUAAAGGGUGCGUAGGCGGCUUUGUAAGUCAGUGGUGAAAUAUGGCAGCUCAACUGUCAAGGUGCCAUUGAUACUGCGGAGCUUGAGUACAGAUGAGGUAGGCGGAAUUGACGGUGUAGCGGUGAAAUGCUUAGAUAUCGAGAGGAACACCUGCGGCGAAGGCGGGUUGCUGGGCCGACACUGACGCUGAUGCGCGAAAGCCAGGGGAGCGAACGGG